UACGUAGGGGGCAAGCGUUGUCCGGAAUUAUUGGGCGUAAAGAGCUCGUAGGCGGCUCGUUGCGUCGGCUGUGAAAACCCGCAGCUCAACUGUGGGCUUGCAGCUGAUACGGGCGGGCUGGAGUUCGGUAGGGGAGACUGGAAUUCCUGGUGUAGCGGUGAAAUGCGCAGAUAUCAGGAGGAACACCGGUGGCGAAGGCGGGUCUCUGGGCCGAUACUGACGCUGAGGCGCGACAGCGUGGGGAGCAACAGG
rnacentral:rRNA from 1 species